AGUGAACGCUGGCGGUAGGCCUAACACAUGCAAGUCGAACGGCAGCACAGUAAGAGCUUGCUCUUACGGGUGGCGAGUGGCGGACGGGUGAGGAAUACAUCGGAAUCUACUUUUUCGUGGGGGAUAACGUAGGGAAACUUACGCUAAUACCGCAUACAACCUACGGGUGAAAGCAGGGGAUCUUCGGACCUUGCGCGAUUGAAUGAGCCGAUGUCGGAUUAGCUAGUUGGUGGGGUAAAGGCCCACCAAGGCGACGAUCCGUAGCUGGUCUGAGAGGAUGAUCAGCCACACUGGAACUGAGACACGGUCCAGACUCCUACGGGAGGCAGCAGUGGGGAAUAUUGGACAAUGGGCGCAAGCCUGAUCCAGCCAUACCGCGUGGGUGAAGAAGGCCUUCGGGUUGUAAAGCCCUUUUGUUGGGAAAGAAAGGCAGCAGGUUAAUACCCCGCUGUUCUGACGGUACCCAAAGAAUAAGCACCGGCUAACUUCGUG
rnacentral:rRNA from 1 species